rnacentral:tRNA from 1 species
CGGGGUGUGGCGCAGAUGGCUAGCGUGCUUGCAUGGGGUGCAAGAGGUCGUGAGUUCGAGUCUCACCACUCCGACAA